rnacentral:rRNA from 1 species
UACGAAGGGGGCUAGCGUUGUUCGGAAUCACUGGGCGUAAAGCGCAUGCAGGCGGAUCGAUAAGUCGGGGGUGAAAUCCCGAGGCUCAACCUCGGAACUGCCUUCGAUACUGCCGAUCUGGAGUCCGGGAGAGGUGAGUGGAACUGCGAGUGUAGAGGUGAAAUUCGUAGAUAUCGAGAGGAACACCGGUGGCGAAGGCGGCGAUCUGGACGAUGACUGACGCUGAGACGCGAAAGCGUGGGGAGCAAACAGG